ACGCUCGCUUGUCGAAGUUCGUGUCAGUGCAGACUUCGUGUUCGUGCCUUGCCUUCCUUGCCGAUUAUGGAGCAGAGACGCAAAUCAUCCGCCGUGUGGGACCAUUUUGAUGUCCCGGAGAAUAAGGUGAAAUGUCGAAUUUGCCGGGUCGAAUUGUCAUACACCAACAGAAGCACCUCCACCAUGCUGAGGCAUUAUCGGGCCAAGCAUGAGAAUGAAGUUCGCGAUACACCCAGUAUUACGCCAGGUUCCACGAAGCAGCUGUACUGGAAGGACCAACACACUUCUUUCCCAAACCUCUCCCACCUCGCAAAGGAGUUCCUUUGUACGCCAGCCUCAUCCGUCCCUUGUGAGCGUGUGUUCUCCACAGCAGGAGAAAUCGCUUGUAAAAGACGCAACAGGCUGAAGUUUAAAACAUUGGAGCAUCUUAUUUUUCUCAAUAAAAAUUUGUGAAAUAAAA